AUAAGUAAAUAAUAACAGGACUGUAUUUUCCACAGAAAUGGAGGGAAACGGACAAUGCAGUUCAGACUUAAAAGACAUCUAUGUUCCAUCCUCACCUCAACCAGAAUUAGAAGUAAAAUGGCACUAUGGGUGAAAGGAAACACAAAGAGAAAGACCUUUGGCUUUUCUACAAUGAAGAAAACAUAGGGGUGUUGUCAGAAAGUUAUGAAAGAAAAUCCACAUGUCUACCUGGGAAGAGAACAGCUAUGUUUGACAUAUUCAAACCUAUAAAAGCCCACACUGAUGAUUUUCUCCUUUUGCAUAAAAGAAGAUUUCUCUCUUCCUUCUCUGUUUUACCAGAAAUAAUUCCCACAUUAACAUUUUACUGUUAAACAUUCUUUUCUGGUUUCUUUAUUCUGUCUAUUAAGCUAUGUCUAUUUGCAUUGAACUUUGUCUGCCAAUUAUAAAUCUAAAUUGACAAACCUGAAUUAUGAGAGUCUUCUUUUGUAAUAAUGAGUCCAUUUUUUAAUAUCAAGCUUUAAUCUUUUCCUCACUUGAAUUUAAAUAAAUCAUCUAAUCAAACCA
rnacentral:lncRNA from 1 species